GCAGCUCAGCAAGUCACGAUUGAUGAGCCUACAGGUAAUUUCGCAAACAUUCAGCAUGAGAAUGAGAACUGAAACUCCAUACUCAAUAAACAAUAACUUCCUAUUCUCCUGGCAACUAGCUUUCUACUUUCUGUCUCUACGAAUUUGAGAAUUUGACUAUUCUAGCUACCUCACCUGAGAUUCGUGUUUCAUUUGGCGGACUCCGUAGAGUACACUGACCUCCCUCAAGUGGGUGGGCUUCAUCCAAUCCACCGAGCGCCUGGAUACAGCAAAAGGCACAAGGGAGAGAAGUUUGCCCCUUUUCUCCUGCCUCACUUUGAGCCGGGACAGGUCAGCUCAUCUUCUACCCCAACUAGGAUUUACAUCAUGGGCUCUCCUGGGAGCUUCAGACUCAGACCAAAGUACACCACCGGAUUUUAUGGGACUCCAGCUUGCAGAGAGCAGA